rnacentral:tRNA from 1 species
GGGGGUGUAGCUCAAUUGGCUAGAGUGGCGGUCUCCAAAACCGCAGGUUGAGGGUUCGAUUCCUUCCGCCCCUGCCA